rnacentral:lncRNA from 12 species
GCUCAGCCUUGGCUACGACCAAAGUGGCUUUUCAGUGAGAACUGAAGCCCGAGGAGGAAAAACACGUGCCUGCCCACGUGAACCCGACCUUCUCGUCCUCUCCAGUCUUGGUCUCUCAGACUCCUGACCGCCCAGGUGGACCGGGUCUCCCUCCCCGGAGUCUGUGCGCCUUCUGACCUCAGGGCAACUCCCUCGG